UCGUGGCAGAGAUUGGGAGCCAAGACAUGGUCGUGAGAGGAGUGACAAUGAAAGGCCUCAUGGUCGAACCAGGGGUGAGGCUGUCAAAACAUCAUCGAAUUUUGGCAUUUCAAAUGAGAAUUAUGAUGUGAUAGAGAUCCAAACAAAGCCUCUUGAUUAUGGACGAGCAGAGUCCGGAUCCAACUUUGGCAGGAGAAGUGAGCUUGGUCAGCAAUCUGAUGGGAAAU
rnacentral:misc_RNA from 1 species